GAAAAUAAAAUCAGGUUACAAUGAGACCCUUACAGCAGGAGCACUGUAAUAAUAUCCCAAUUUGCUGGAUACUGUGAGUAAAAUCACCAGGCAGCUGAAGAGAUGGGGCCAUUUUAUGUUCAGCUAUAGCACACUCAACCUUUGACAUGAGAUCUGUUUGUGAACCAAGAAAUGUUAGCUCACACCCCAGGGCCUCUUAAACCCUUGACCUCUCUCAAAAAUGCUGCAGGAUAUAUUGAGGCAAAUAGUUAGGUAAGUUCAAAAUAGAAAUAAAUGCUCCAUGAAUGCAUUUGAACCCUUGACAUUGCAGCCCUGUUGGUCAGGGAAGAUCUUGCUAUUUUCGCAGGGAAAUCCUUUCUCCCUUGAAAUCACUUUGGAGGUAACAUUAUUUUUUCCUUGUCACUCAAAAAUUUUUUUACUUGUCAUAAAAUAAAGUGAAAAAACUCUGAGCCCAAGUACAUAAAAGCCUUAAAUGCAUGAGCUUUAUCUUUAUCUUUCCUACCAUAGUUGUUAGUCCUUAAAUUUCAUGGUGCUGAAAAUAUCCUUUUUGCAUUUCUUUUCUGGAUUGUUCCCCCUCUGAGCAAUGGUUACCAGAAUCUUUUAGAAUGACAUGUGUUUGCUAAUUGGAUUAAAGGGGAGAAAAUGGAAGAGAUUUUUUUCAAACAUAGCUGUGACAUUCUUAAUCUGGGACACAGAUGUUUCCACAUCUUUUUGCAUCUUUGUGUUCAGUGAUUACACUAAGAAAAGGUCUCAGAAUCUUCCAAAUUGUUCACAUUCAUCUUCCACACAGUUGGAAGCAGGAAGCCAUUAAGAUGAAGGCCUUGAAGCUUACAUGUAAUAAACAGGAGGUAAAGGAAGGUAGAAAAGGGAGGGAGGAGUCCAACUUGUUCUUAGUUGAUGUUUUCUAUAUUCUCAGCUCUCAAAAUUGUCCUUUUGUUUAAUUCAUUUAUUGAAGUAGUUAAUGCUUAUUAUAAUCCCAUGCACACAGAUAAAAAUAUUAAAAUGCACUUACUAAGUGGAAGAUGAAAGCUAAUUCUCAUUUAGGUGGUUACACUACCUCCACUGUAGGUAGUUCUUUUACCUAAAACACCAUAAAAAGGCAGUUUAUCCACUAGGGAAAAAAUGUGCUAAAUUUAAAACACAAAUAAAACCUCCUGUGUCUCUUAACUUUCAUCUUUCAUCCAACGUUUAUACACAUUUUGUAGGCCAUUGGUAUUUGAGAAAAUGGGAGGAAAAUGGUUAUUAUCGAAAUAGAGGUCUUAAUGAAAAAUAUGGUUUCAAAUGUUCAAAUUAUGUUAAAAAAAGGCAAAAAAAAAUCUUAUUACAGUAGCACCCUUGUUACAAGUUUCAACAAAUUUAGUCUUUAAAAAACCUUCAGUAAUAAUAACAAGAAAGAUCCUUUGACUGCGUUUAUCAAUGAGAUUGAUUAAUUUGGCAUUAUAAAAACGUCACAUUUUCCGUAACUGUUACUUGGAAUCAAAGAUGUGCAGGACCUCUGUCUACAUUUGAGGUUAUACAAAAGCCUUGGUGUGCAUAAAAGUGGAAAUUCUUGGGUCCUGCACCCAGAGAUUCAAAUUUAUUAAGUCUGGGGGGUUUGCCUGUGAAUCUGCCUUUUUAACAAACAGCCCUAGGUGAUUCUGAUGUUGGUGGUCCAGGGACCAUACCUGGAGAGGGGCGGUUCUGUAGCUCUUCUGAGAUCGUAACAAUGAACACAGCACAGCCCUGCCUGCCAUCCUCCGCUUGCACAGCUGUUACUAAAUAUCCUUCAACAAAGCUCUUUAGGGAGAUGACUUUCAUAUAGUUUGAUAUCUUGAAAUACAUUCUGAAUUAUCCUCAAUUAUGACAAACACCUUUGAUUUAUUCACUAAAAUCCUCCGGAAAUUAGUGAACAUGCAAGGGCAUAUCUGCUAACUCUCUAUAACCACACUACACACUUGGCCAGAAUCCUCUGGUUAGAUAAUAGAGGUGGAGCUGCCUAUUCACCCAGUUUUGAAAUCCAAAUGAAAUGUUAGAAUUCAAAUGAAGGGCACUUAGCCUACCACCAUUAUAUAUUGGAGAAGAGAUUAUGUCAUUUAGAGCAAAUCCUAAAAGACAGGGCCCAUACAUUAAAAAGAUGUGGAAGGGGUAAAGAGAAGGGGUUGAAUUUAGACCAAGAUCUGGUUAUUUUGACAACUGGUAUACAGUGUAGUCUGUUUUGCUGAAUUUCACCAGCUUCUGCUUCUGUUUAUCUUUCUAAAUAAAUUUAGAUGUGUUGAUGCAAGCAGAACUUGAGACAGCUUCUGGUGAAUUCUAGAUUGCCUCUGAGAAGUUUAUCCUUCAUCACAAACACCUGGAGGUGGGGGAGGAGCCAGAAUGCUGCCACACCCACAGAAUGGCUUUUCUCUACCUGCAUGAAUGCUAGACCAGCUCUACAAAGGAGGCUAGACAAGCGCUUACAAAUGAGGCACAAGGCAGAGUUCCUAUGGGAGCUAUUUCCUCCCUCCUUACCCAUCUUUCUUCUGUUGGCACCCUGCAGAAGGGAAGCACGGCACAGCAUGCUGGAUCUUAGUUCCCCAACCAGGGAUGGAACCGGAGCCCCCUGAAGUGGAAGCUCGAAGUCUUAACCACUGAACCACCAUGGAAGUCCCUUUGCUGUUAUUUAGCAUUAAAAACCAAUUCCAUUCAAUGGCUCACACCUGGAGAUUGGAGUGAGCCGUCAGCUUUGUGUCUGAACUACCUACCCACUCCCCUAUCAUCAUUCUUUACCAUUUCUCUUUCCUCCAUUGAAUAUUUACUGAAUGUAUAUUUAUUUACUGAAAUCCAUAUCUAUGUCAAUUCCUAAAGUGGUGUUUGACAAGGGUUAGACUGUAAAAGUCUAUAGAGUUUGUUAAGGAAUUCGCUGUUAUCGGCUAACAAUAGGAGAGAUGUCAGUGGCUUCACUAGCCGAAUAAAUAAAUAAAAGCA